GAACUACUCCCUCCGUUCGAAAUUACUUGUCUCGGAAAUGGAUAUAUCUAGAACUAAAAUACAUCUAGAUACAUCCAUUUCUGCGACAAGUAAUUCCGAACGGAGGGAGUAGGUU
rnacentral:pre_miRNA from 1 species